GCCUGUGCGGGCGCGGGUGCGCUCCGCCACAACCCUGCGUCCCCGCGUUGCUGGUCUGCUGGCUGCUGGGCUACAGCUGGCGCCGCAUCUGUUCACCUCCAUCUCUCUUCUCCCUCUUCCUCUCCCUCUCUCUAGCGAGCAGACGACUGGGUGGGCUACCACCGCCCGCCCUACGCCAGUCGCCAGGUGCUGAAGCCUUCGCCGGCGACAAGCAGCCACCAGGUGGUUGAGGCAUCUCCCUGGCAUGUAACACCAUUUUGUGGAUGGCAUUGGCAUGUCUGGUUUACACUUCAUCAACUCAUUGUCAGAGCUCUACCAUGGAACUCCAAAUUUCUAGGAUACCCUUCAUGGAUCACACUCACCUCCUCUCCAUCUUUCCACAUGUUGACUACCCGCCUGUCCCAGCCAUGUUCACCAUGGCCCAGGCCUUCACUUCCAAGCCAAUGCCAUCUGCUAUCGUCGCCGACAUUUUCAAGCUAAUUCAUUCAGACCUUGGUUGCCUGCGCUCACAGCUUCUCACAUUUGAAGGUGCACCACAUUUAAGCACACCAGCACAUAUGACAUGCUAGCCGAGGAUGCCUGGUGAUGUGUUUCUGUGCAAGGUUUCAUUAGGAUAUAUUGUGGCACUGAUAGGUGACAACGGCUGCAUCUCCCACUUCUGGAUGGUUACUUCAGCAAUGUCAUCUUCACUGCCACAUCAUUUGUCAAGGCAAGCAAGGUGGCCCGUGGUCUAGCAGAUGGGGUUGCAGUCAUCCAGGAGGCACUAAGUUUGAUGGAUAAUGACUAUUGCCCUACCGCUCAGCAUUGGACUACCUGGGAUUGAAUAAGAGCUUUUAGCAUUGAUAGAUGGAGCUCACAUCUACCAGUUCCCGAACCUGGGGCUCACGAGCUGGGUGCAGCCUGUGUUCAUCGGCCCAAUCACAUGUUGCGGCCUGAGGUUUGUUAUCCGAGGUGCAAAUAGCGAUGUGCAGGCUGAACACAUGAAGAUGGGUCCAGAAGCUGCUAUUCGAGUUGUAAAUGGAGUGCUCUACUUAUUGGAAAAGGAUUGUAAUAGAGCAAGAAGCUUCAGGGCGUAGCCAGGUUCUCCCUAGUGAAACAUCUGAAUCUUUAGAGUGAACCUUGUAACUGUUGUUCUUCAAAUCUUGUAAGUGAAUUCAUUGUACACUAUUUUAUGGGAAUAUUUGGAAAACAUCAAAUUGUACAAUUACUAGUAAAGAGUUCUAUUAAGACAAGGGGAAAAACAAUGCAGAAACGGGUUUACAAAGUUA